AACAAGGCGUACCUGCGGACCUGCGGAGGGAUCAUUAUCCAUCCAAAACCAGCUGCGGUCGCGGCCCCACGCUUACCCGUGGCGGUACGCGCCGCACGUCUGCACCCUUUUUUUACGAGUACCUUCGUUCUCCCUCGGCAGGGCAACCUGCCGUUGGAACCAUACAAAACCUUUUUUUGCAUCUAGCAUUACCUGUUCUGAUACAAACAAUCGUUACAACUUUCAGCAAUGGAUCUCAGA
rnacentral:misc_RNA from 1 species